GUGAGUGUAUGAGUGUGAGUGUGUGAGUGAGUGUGCCCACAUGUGCACACACCUGCAGGCACACCCGCGCACCUGC
rnacentral:pre_miRNA from 1 species